rnacentral:rRNA from 1 species
CUCCUACGGGGGGCAGCAGUGGGGAAUAUUGCACAAUGGGGGAAGCCCUGAUGCAGCGAUGCCGCGUGGAGGAAGAAGGUUUUCGGAUUGUAAACUCCUUUUAUCAGGGACGAUAAUGACGGUACCUGAAGAAAAAGCUCCGGCUAACUACGUGCCAACAGCCGCGGUAAUACGUAGGGAGCGAGCGUUGUCCGGAAUUACUGGGCGUAAAGGGCGCGUAGGUGGGUGCUUAAGUCAGGUGUGAAAACUCUGGGCUCAACCUGGAGACUGCACUUGAAACUGGGUAUCUUGAGGGCAGGAGAGGA